CUGGGCGUGUGCUUACCUGCAGUCGAACGAUGAAGGUAGCUUGCUAUCUGAUUAGUGGCGAACGGGUGAGUAACACGUGAGUAACCUGCCCUUGACUCUGGGAUAAGCACUGGAAACGGUGUCUAAUACCGGAUAUGAACCUCAGUCGCAUGGCUCGGGGUUGGAAAGAAUUUUGGUCAAGGAUGGACUCGCGGCCUAUCAGCUAGUUGGUGAGGUAAUGGCUCACCAAGGCGACGACGGGUAGCCGGCCUGAGAGGGUGACCGGCCACACUGGGACUGAGACACGGCCCAGACUCCUACGGGAGGCAGCAGUGGGGAAUAUUGCACAAUGGGCGAAAGCCUGAUGCAGCAACGCCGCGUGAGGGACGACGGCCUUCGGGUUGUAAACCUCUUUUAGUAGGGAAGAAGCGAAAGUGACGGUACCUGCAGAAAAAGCACCGGCUAACUACGUGCCAGCAGCCGCGGUAAUACGUAGGGUGCAAGCGUUAUCCGGAAUUAUUGGGCGUAAAGAGCUCGUAGGCGGUUUGUCGCGUCUGCUGUGAAAACUGGAGGCUCAACCUCCAGCCUGCAGUGGGUACGGGCAGACUAGAGUGCGGUAGGGGAGAUUGGAAUUCCUGGUGUAGCGGUGGAAUGCGCAGAUAUCAGGAGGAACACCAAUGGCGAAGGCAGAUCUCUGGGCCGUAACUGACGCUGAGGAGCGAAAGCAUGGGGAGCGAACAGGAUUAGAUACCCUGGUAGUCCAUGCCGUAAACGUUGGGAACUAGAUGUAGGGGCCAUUCCACGGUUUCUGUGUCGCAGCUAACGCAUUAAGUUCCCCGCCUGGGGAGUACGGCCGCAAGGCUAAAACUCAAAGGAAUUGACGGGGGCCCGCACAAGCGGCGGAGCAUGCGGAUUAAUUCGAUGCAACGCGAAGAACCUUACCAAGGCUUGACAUAUACCGGAAAAGUGCAGAAAUGUGCUCCCCGCAAGGUCGGUAUACAGGUGGUGCAUGGUUGUCGUCAGCUCGUGUCGUGAGAUGUUGGGUUAAGUCCCGCAACGAGCGCAACCCUCGUUCUAUGUUGCCAGCACGUUAUGGUGGGAACUCAUAGGAGACUGCCGGGGUCAACUCGGAGGAAGGUGGGGAUGACGUCAAAUCAUCAUGCCCCUUAUGUCUUGGGCUUCACGCAUGCUACAAUGGCCGAUACAAAGGGCUGCAAUACCGUGAGGUGGAGCGAAUCCCAAAAAGUCGGUCUCAGUUCGGAUUGAGGUCUGCAACUCGACCUCAUGAAGUCGGAGUCGCUAGUAAUCGCAGAUCAGCAACGCUGCGGUGAAUACGUUCCCGGGCCUUGUACACACCGCCCGUCAAGUCAUGAAAGUCGGUAACACCCGAAGCCAGUGGCCUAACCCGUAAGGGGAGGAGCGUCGAAGCUCAUC
rnacentral:rRNA from 1 species